rnacentral:rRNA from 1 species
AUUGAACGCUGGCGGCAGGCCUAACACAUGCAAGUCGAGCGAGCGGCGGACGGGUGAGUAAUGUAUGGGGACUGCCUGAUAGAGGGGGAUAACUACUGGAAAAGUUGGCUACUACCGCAUACUACCGGAUAGCCCAUAUGGGAUUAGCUAGUAGGUGGGGUAAAGGUUCACCUAGGCGACGAUCUCUAGCUGGUCUGCGAGGAUGAUCAGCCACACUGGGACUGAGACACGGCCCAGACUCCUACGGAGGCAGCAGUGGGGAAUAUUGCACAAUGGGCGCAAGCCUGAUGCAGCCAUGCCGCGUGUAUGAAGAAGGCCUUAGGGUUGUAAAGUACUUUCAGCGGGGAGGCGUUACCCGCAGAAGAAGCACCGGCUAACUCCGUGCCAGCCGCCGCGGUAAUUC